rnacentral:tRNA from 1 species
GCGCCUGUAGCUCAGUUGGAUAGAGCAUCUGCCUUCUAAGCAGGUUGUCGGGAGUUCGAAUCUCUCCAGGCGCG